rnacentral:rRNA from 1 species
UACGUAGGGUGCAAGCGUUGUCCGGAAUUAUUGGGCGUAAAGAGCUCGUAGGCGGUCUGUCACGUCGGCUGUGAAAACCCGAGGCUCAACCUCGGGCCUGCAGUCGAUACGGGCAAACUGGAGUACUGCAGGGGAGACUGGAAUUCCUGGUGUAGCGGUGAAAUGCGUAGAUAUCAAGAGGAACACCUGAGGUGAAGACGGGUUGCUGGGCUGACACUGACGCUGAGGCGCGAAAGCCAGGGGAGCAAACGGG